GUGCUUGCUUCAGCAGCACAUAUACUAAAUUUGGAAUGAUAUAGGGAAGAUUAGCAUGGCCACUGCACAAGGAGGACACACAGAUUCGUGAAGCAUUUUUAUAUUUU
ensembl:snRNA U6 U6 spliceosomal RNA